rnacentral:lncRNA from 1 species
GAAUAUUCCAAGAUAUCACAGGAGCAAAGUGGAGUCAUCUCUUGUUUGAAAAGUAUUUCUUUUCAUUUUUUGAGAUUAUGUUACAAUUGAUAUCAUUCUCUCCACAUCUUCGUCCCUCCAAACCCUCCCCUAUACCCUUCCUUGCUCUCUUUCAAAUUCACAGUAUCUUUUUUUUAUUAAUUAUCAUCUUCUACAAGCAGACACAAAUAUACAUACAUAUACACGUUUAUAUAUUUAUAUGAAUGUACAUAUACAUAUACAUAAAUGCAUAAAUGCAGUCUGUAAAUGCUUCUUGUAUAUAUGUUUUCAGGGCUGGCCAUUUGGAAUUGCAUGACCAAUCCAUGUGUUCUUCCCUGGGGAAGACAGUUUCUUCCUCUCUCAGCACUGCUUAGUUGCCUCUGGUUCUUCCUUUCAGGCUGAGGCCUCUCUCUUCCUCCUGUCCACUUUGCCAUGCCUACUGUUGUCCUUUCUCAGCUCGUGCUUAGGCAACUGUGUUGCUGAGACUUCGUGGCUGUGGUUUCUAUGGUCAAGACACUGAGUACAGAGUGGGAUCAUCAGAUCGGAAAUGCUUCACAUCCACAGAGCCGGGGCUGCUGGCUGAUCCCACAGCACAGUGUGAAGGACUAAGUACCCUUCGACUCUCCAGGUCUGAUGUGUGACUUUAGCCAGAAUGAGGCCAAUUUACUGUUAUUCCCAGAGCCCAGGGCAAUUUUCACAUGAAGGGAAGAUGCACAUUUGUGGCCAAAUAGGCAGAUUUGGACAUUGGACUGGAUGCUAAAAUGUCCCC